UACGUAGGGUCCAAGCGUUGUUCGGAUUUACUGGGCGUAAAGGGCGCGUAGGCGGCGUGGUAAGUCAGCUGUGAAAUCUCCGAGCUUAACUCGGAACGUUCAGCUGAUACUGCUGUGCUAGAGUACAGAAAGGGCAAUCGGAAUUCUUGGUGUAGCGGUGAAAUGCGUAGAUAUCAAGAGGAACACCUGAGGGGAAGGGGGGUUGCUAGGCUGAUAAUGGCGCUGAGUGCGCGAAAGCUAGGGUAGCAAACGGG
rnacentral:rRNA from 1 species